rnacentral:rRNA from 1 species
UUAGAGGCAAACGGGUGGACCCGCAAUACGUCGACCCGGGGGAUUCAACCAGGCCGUGCGUUCGGGACGCGUGGGGGUUAUGCGGAGCUGUAAAGCCCGUGCCUCUGCGUAGGUCUCCGGGCGGACUGGUGCACUUUCCUCGGGUUGAUUGCCACGACCGGCUCUCCGUGCGGCCACAAGCCUUUGCUGGGAAGGUGACCGUCGGCCCCGCGCCGGCGGUGUUAUAGACCAGCUUGUUCGUUGAGCUCGUCGGAGGGCCGAGGAAGUGUUGCCGUUUCUCAGCCACCCUCCGGCCAUCCUUGCUCGUCACGACUGGGGUGAACUGCUUCGUCAGUGCUCUCCCGACCGCGAGCGUAGGAAGGGCUGGUACGGUGCGAGAAAGCUUCGGGCCAGUGGCGAAUCGGUCGGUCCUCCACCCGACCCGUCUUGAA